GCAUGUAAAUAUGGGGAAAAAGCAAGAAGUAUCACUGCUUAAAUACCGUAGUAGGACUCCAUCUUUUGUAAUAUGAAAUAAAGCAUUUAAAGAUGGACUGAUGGAAGGAACUGCUUCAAAAAGUAUCAUCUCUGAGGUGGAUGUUGAUUAAGUAAUAGCUGUAUAAUUGAUGAAGCAGAAUGAUUCACCUGCUUACUAUGGUAAUUUGAAUCAAUUCGCUACCUUUAUUC
rnacentral:lncRNA from 1 species